rnacentral:rRNA from 1 species
UACGGAGGGCGCAAGCGUUGUUCGGAAUUACUGGGCGUAAAGCGCGUGUAGGCGGCUCGACAAGUCGGGUGUGAAAUCCCGGAGCUCAACUCCGGAACUGCAUCCGAUACUGUCGAGCUAGAGUCUCGGAGAGGAUGGCGGAAUUUCCGGUGUAGAGGUGAAAUUCGUAGAUAUCGGAAGGAACACCAGUGGCGAAGGCGGCCGUCUGGACGAUGACUGACGAUGAGACGCGAAAGCGUGGGGAGCAAACAGG